rnacentral:tRNA from 1 species
GCAUUGGUGGCUCAGUGGUAGAACUCUGCCCUUCCGUGAAGAAGACCCAGGUUUGAUUCCCAGCCAAUGCA